ensembl:lncRNA
GGCGCUCUCGCGGCCUGGACAGUUUUCACUUUUUUAUUUUUGGCGACAGUGUGUUAUCACUGAUACAUGUCUGUUGUCCACUGUUGUCCUCAGCCUUUUUUCUUCAAAACUGCUGCCACAUCAGUUCCCUGAGUUGUAUGUAAGUAAAUACAGGACUUUGCCUUUGUUUCUGUUGAAUCUCAUUUGGUUUAUUUCAGACCAUUACUCCAACUGGUCAGGAUCUUUCUGAAUCCUGUUUUCAUCUCCUGAAGAUCUUAAAGGCCUCUCAUUUAAGCAGGAAAUGCUUGAAGGCCUCUCGUUCAUCUGAAGUGUAAGAAUGGUACUUUCUUUGAGUCAUUAAUGAACAGUGCUGGACCCACCAAUACCUUGGGGAGAAUUGGUGGUACUUUGCUACAGCUAAGCAAUGAACUAUUGAUAACUACUCUCUAAAUAUAUUUUUUAUCAAAGAUGAACCAAUUUAACUAUAAUUUAUUCUAGCCUUUUUUUCCACUGAUGAGCCUUUUACUCAGUUCUGAGAAAGACUAAUCCUGUACUUUCACAUUGCUUAAUAUGCAUCAGGCAUUGCUGUGAAGAGCUGAGUGAAAAUGUUGAUGAGGAAAAUGGUGGGGAAAGAUCUGCAUGUUAUGUAUUACUAUUUUGGUCCCAGCUGCAAUGUAGUCCUGGAAGCAGACUGGCAGGACAGUGACUACUUGUUUGCCAGAUUUUGUGGACAGCGUAGCCCAAAGGGAUCAGUCAAGAUCAUUUUAGAGAACAAUGAUGUAUUCCGUUAAACUUCCUGAGCAUUCAAAUACUUAUUUCAGUAGUUACAGUUUCAGACGUGUCCGUAUAGCACAGAUGAGACUGCACAAAAUUUAGUGUUGGAAUCUCAGGUUCAAAGGAUUGGAUCUCAAUAGCAACAAAAACAUGAGACUUUGCAUAAGACAUACUAGCCCACAAACACAAGUGUGAUCAAUAUAAAUAAGUAUAAAUGUAUAAACUUUUUGAUUCUGGGCAGAGAGAGGGCAGGGUGGUUUGGGAUUAGUCACACAAAUUUUGAAAAUUUUUGCUACUCACGAGACAAAAGUUAUUUUUCUAAUAUACUUGAUACCACAUUAUGUAGAAUUAUACCAUCUUACUCUAUGUGGAAAGAUGGACUUCUGCCUGACUUUAAUUUUUACAUGUUGACAAAAAUGGAUGCAACUUUGCUGUAGAUUGUGGGCAUUUUAUAGCCAUUUCUAUAUACUCAAGUCCUGUAAAGCAAGAAGCAGAACUAUUUGCUGACUCAAUUCUAAUCAAGUCUAUUAGCUGACAUCUUAUCACUACAAAAUUUUAUCCAAAGUAAUCAUUUACUUUGCUGAAUGUUCAAAUAUAAAUUUGACUGAGUCUACAGAAGUACUGCUCUAUUCUGUGGGAGGAAGAAAUAUGAAACAUGCUGACAUUUUAAGAAAAAAGUAAAAUCCUUUAACCCUUUUAUCCCAGUACUCGUUGAUAACCUUAGUCUGCUCUGAGGGAGGAAGCAGAGAGAGAUUAAUUUUAUAAAGCUGCAUUCUUUUCUCUGUAACAAAAUGAGAACUGGAAGUUACAUUUCUCUAAGUUCCCUGUGACCUCUUCAGUUGUCUGGCGAGGAUUUGCUUCCUUGCAGAAAGAAAAUCACGUAUCUCAGACAAAAUUCUUUCAGCCUAAGUAGCUUUCAGGCAAAGAUCCUUGACUUUCUAUUGGCCCACUGAUAGCAAAGCCCCUACAGAAAUCAAACUGCCAAAAUACUGAAUGGACAGUAUCUAUGUAAGCCAU